UACGGAGGGGGCUAGCGUUGUUCGGAAUUAUUGGGCGUAAAGCGCGCGUAGGCGGCCGGAUAAGUCGCAUGUGAAAUCCCGUGGCUCAACCAUGGAAGUGCAUGCGAAACUGUCUGGCUCGAGUGUCGGAGAGGGUGGUGGAAUUCCCAGUGUAGAGGUGAAAUUCGUAGAUAUUGGGAGGAACACCAGUGGCGAAGGCGACCGCCUGGACGACAACUGACGCUGAGGCGCGAGAGCGUGGGGAGCAAACAGG
rnacentral:rRNA from 1 species